AUCGCUUCUCGGCCUUUUGGCUAAGAUCAAGUGUAGUAUCUGUUCUUAUCAGUUUAAUAUCUGAUACGUCCUCUAUCUGAGGACAAUAUAGUAAAUGGAUUUUUGGAAGAGGGAGAUGGAAUAGGAGCUUGCUCCGUCCACUCCACACAUCGACCUGUAUUGCAGUAACUUCAGGAACAGUGCACCAAGA
rnacentral:snRNA from 1 species